ACCUAUUUAAGAGCUGGCUACCAGUGGGGAAGGAUCUUGUCUGGAGACUGCCUCUGCUGGUGUUUUUUGUAGGUGAGCCUAGCAUACAGGGGGUUGCCUCGGAGGUGCACAAAUGGCGCAGCCUGUAUCUCAGGGGGGACAGCACGGAGGAAGUUGUUCUGCAGAUCAAGCCUGGACAAAUUGGGCAGGCUGGCGAGCGAUGCAGGGACUGUCACCAGAAGAUUGCUGUGAAGAUGCAGCCGCCGCAGAGACUUCAAAUUGGCUGCAGAGAACAGGUACCUAAACAAUCUGGGAUGCUUGAUAGCCGAUUCCCAGAGAGAUCCAGUUCUGUGCAGCUGUGCAGAUUUCCAACCUCUUCAGGGAGAUGUUCCAACACAUUUUCUGAGAGGUCCAGUUCCUCCAGUGCUGCCAGCUCCCCGAUGCUCUGAGGUAAGCGCUUCAACUGAUUUUUCAUAGCAGAGAAGAAAGUCAGCUUGCUCAGUGAGCCGAAGUUCUCAGGAAGAGCCACCAAGUUGUUGUGGCUCACCAAGAGCAUGCGGAGGCUGGUGAGGUAAGGGAUGCAGCUGGGCAAGGUGGAGAGACUAUUGAAGCUGAGAUCCAAGUGAGUGAGACAUCUCAGGGUCCCAAUACCUGGUGGCAAGCUUGUCAGGGAGCCGUGCUGACAUGAACCAAAUUCAUCUCUGACAUGGCCACCUAGGUGCAAAGGGAAGUGGGGGGAGAAGUCAAUAUAGUACAAGGGUACCUCAUCACUUCAUGUAACACUCCUUUCUGAAGCUAUAACAUGGAGACUCAGAUAAUGGUGAGUUUCUGAUUACAAUGUACAGCACUAAUUACAAAGUUUUGUAGGUUUUCUGCACCUUGCAGAAAAUUUCCUGAUCUGUGAAGAUCUGCUGGGAAACCAACAGAUGUUACAGGGAACCCGUAGAACCCUGCUUAACACAUGUGGGGCAAAGUUCAGAAAGACCCAGGCCACUCCAUACACAUACCAUCACUCUGUGUAGUGGCACACACUCUUGCAAGCCUCCUGAAUGUUCUACCCCUGGUGCCAACACAGUGGGCAACACACAACACUUUAUGAACGAGACCUUCCUCACACACCUUCCAGACUCUGCCCACAUUGCUGGGGAAUGAACAGCCCCAAAGAACGAGACCUGCCCUUAUUAGACAGAUGAGAAAAGCAGUGA